rnacentral:rRNA from 1 species
GCUUACGACCACACCGGCCUGAGUACGCCUGAUCUCGUCUGAUCUCGGAAGCUAAGCAGGGUCGGGCCUGGUUAGUACUUUGAAUGGGAGACCGCCUGGGAAUACCAGGUGCUGUAAACA